AAAAAAGGAUGAGACAGGCCAUUGGGAGAGCAGGCUUUAUGCGAGAUAUGCUUUUCUCAACUCUCUUAGAGGACUAAUGAAAGCAGUAAGUUAUUACCAAAUGGAUGCAAAAAUGAAUAAAUUAACAGACGUUGAAUUGAUUCUUAUGGCUUUAUUUGUUGUCAACCCAAUAUUAAACUCAUUGAGAUCAAACACUCUUUGACGACGGUUGAUGAUAAUAUCCAUCAUUACAACCAGUGAAUGGAUUACAUUGAAUAUAAAG
rnacentral:misc_RNA from 1 species